UUACAGUGUUAGAACUCAGACCUUUGCUAGGGAGGUAAAAACCGCUAAAGCUAAAUUGAGGUGUAAAUAUUACAAGAAAAAUAGCUGCAAGCUUGAUGUGAAGGGUCAGCUCGUUCUGUGGAAGAUGCUUCUGCCUUAAAGCUGGGUUCUGAGAGAAGGCAGCACUUUUGCAACAUGUGCAAUAGAGCACUAGAGCCAAAAGAUGCUGAGCAAAUCCAUUGAAAGGGUCAUGAUGUGGAUUGUGGUUUUAAAUGUAUUUAUUGUCCCAUGACCAUGUGGAUCUUAAUGGAAAAUCACUGAAAAAUCACACAAGCGGAUAAAGGAAACCUACCAGUGCCUCAUCUGCGAAAGUGCUUUUAUGUCACAAGAUGCCUGGAGAGUGAAUAAAAACAACCAUUAAAGGAAGCCUCGUCCCAGUGCGUGGUGUAUCUGUCGUCUUCUCUGAAACUGAGCAGAUAAGAAAUCUUCAUGUAGCUUGCUUACCAUUAUUGGGAUAUGGUUAGAUGUCCACACAGUGGUUUUACCAGUCCUGUUACAUGUAGACCCUUUAGGGUCACUGGCUUCAGCUCCAUCACAAUAUCCUUACAUGUGUUGGUGGUGCCUUGACCACUGAACCAUGCUGGAGAAACUGGUGUACACUGAAUUAGAGGGUCAGCCCCCCUGAAGUGCAAACUCCCGAAACCAGCAAUUAGCCGUAGUACCUGCCCGUGGCUGUCUCUUAAUUCUUUCUGCAGAAGGCUCUGACCCCGCGGCAGAACAGGAUCUGUCUGCAGUUGUGGCGAGCUCAAUUGCACACAGCUCCAGCCAGCUGUGUGUCCUGCGGCACGGAAUGAGCAGCUGAUGGCAGAAUGGCCUCGAGACAACAUUGCCAUGCUGACUGCGACUCCAGGCACCCGGGCUGUGCUACCACACAGAGCUCCAGUGUGCCAAACAUUCAGAAGAAGAGCUUGGACCUUCACAUACACUGACCUCACGCUGGUGAGGUAUUUGGCUGUAGUUUUUGCUGCUCUUCUUUCCCUGGCAAACAACUUCUCUGAAAACAUAUUAGGAAAUAUUACCUGGGUUCAGGAACCUCAUUAACCACUUCCCAGCCCAUCUUUACCUUCAAAUUACUCCUCGUGGAACAUUAGGUUCUUCAUGCUUAAACUUCCACCUGAGCAUCCCAGCAAAUAAAGAAGCUGUUGGCAUGGUCA
rnacentral:lncRNA from 1 species